GCCAUGAGAGUAACCAAGCGUCGGAGGUGUGCCUCUGCCUUCUAGUGUUAUCCAUGCAUUCCCAGCCACUCCAUUAGACGCAGGUGGCAGAACCUUUAGACCAAAUGUAUGGCUGUGGCAUUACAGAGGUUAUGUCCCUGGGAGGAAGGUUGUGGAGUGAGUCCUACCCUUUCCAAACCAAGACAGAUUUUUGACCAACUACUUAAUGAAUCAGCUCUGAAAGCAGCAAGCGGAUAUGCCUGGAGGGCUUCGAAACUGGCCUCAGUCCAGACCUCAUUAUCGUUAAGGAUUUCAGUGUUUAAAGAACAACCAGAAGUUUAGGAGGAGCCGGCCCAUGAGUUUAAAAGACCCUAGAAGGCACUCGGGUAUAAAGAAUGGAGUGGCAGCCUACACACCAGCAAUAAUAACUGGUUCCCAGGUGGACAUGUGAAUCAGCAAAAAAAAUCAGCAGUGAUUGAUAUUAAUUAUUCUGAUUCUGUAAAGGCAAAAACUUUUAGUUAACUGUUGCAGUAGGUAAGACUCAUGCAUGUAUGUAUCUAUUACUUAAAUAUGAGUGUGUAUAUAUGUGUGUGUAUAUAUCUAUAUAGCAGGGACACUUCCACUCAUUCAGUGUAAAGAGAAUAUAGUGAUAAUAUUUUGGACAUUUUUUAAAAGAUUUUAUUUAUUUAUUUGAGAGAGAGAGCAUGAGAAGAGAGAGGUC
rnacentral:lncRNA from 1 species